rnacentral:rRNA from 1 species
CAUCGCAUGGUGAGAAGAAGAAAAGGACGGCCUCUACACAAAGCGGUCGCCGAAAGGAGGGGGUUUGCGUCUGAUUAGCUAGUUGGAGGGUAACGGCCCAACAAGGCGACGAUCAGUAGCCCCGGUCUGAGAGGAUGAACGGCCACAUUGGGACUGAGACACGGCCCAGACUCCUACGGGAGGCAGCAGUGGGGGAAUCUUCCGCAAUGGACGAAAGUCUGACGGAGCAACGCCGUGUGAGUGAAGAAGGUCUUCGGAUUGUAAAGCUCUGUUAUACGGGACGAAAAAGACGGAUGCCAACAGUAUCCGUCCGUGACGGUACCGUAAGAGAAAGCCACGGCUAACUACGUGCCAGCAGCCGCGGUAAU